rnacentral:rRNA from 1 species
UCUGGAAACUNUCUGACUUGAGUGCAGAAGGGGAGAGUGGANUUCCAUGUGUAGCGGUGAAAUGCGUAGAUAUAUGGAGGANCACCAGUGGCGAAAGCGGCUCUCUGGUCUGUCACUGACGCUGAGGCUCGAAAGCGUGGGUAGCGAACAGGAUUAGAUACCCUGGUAGUNCACGCCGUAAACGAUGAGUGCUAGGUGUUAGGCCCUUUCCGGGGCUUAGUGCCGGAGCUAACGCAAUAAGCACCCCGCCUGGGGAGUACGACCGCAAGGUUGAAACUCAAAGGAAUUGACGGGGGCCCGCACAAGCGGUGGAGCAUGUGGUUUAAUUCGAAGCAACGCGAAGAACCUUACCAGGUCUUGACAUCCCGAUGCUAUUCUUAGAGAUAGGAAGUUACUUCGGUACAUCGGAGACAGGUGGUGCAUGGUUGUCGUCAGCUCGUGUCGUGAGAUGUUGGGUUAAGUCCCGCAACGAGCGCAACCCUUAUUGUUAGUUGCCAUCAUUAAGUUGGGCACUCUAGCGAGACUGCCGGUAAUAAACCGGAGGAAGGUGGGGAUGACGUCAAAUCAUCAUGCCCCUUAUGACCUGGGCUACACACGUGCUACAAUGGUCGGUACAACGAGUUGCGAGCCGGUGACGGCAAGCUAAUCUCUGAAAGCCGAUCUCAGUUCGGAUUGGAGGCUGCAACUCGCCUCCAUGAAGUCGGAAUCGCUAGUAAUCGCGGAUCAGCACGCCGCGGUGAAUACGUUCCCGGGCCUUGUACACACCGCCCGUCACACCACGAGAGUUUGUAACACCCGAAGUC